UAAAAACGAGAAGACCUUCAAGAGCAGAGACAUUUCGAGAUAAGAACAUUGGAAUUGAAGAUCAGCCACUUUGAAUCAAGAGCCGUUUCGUAAACACUCAAACAAGCAUGGAUUCUAAAUUCUUCAUCUUCACUUUGGCGCUGUGCUUUGCUGUUACGGUGGCAACAAUUACUUUCGAAGAUGAGGAGACAAAAAGAGGGGAACACCCUGGUGCUGCUCCGGGGAUGCCCCUUUUUGCUGACGUCAUAGACAUUAUGAAGAGGAGAAUUGUAUAUGUUUGCACUAAGCCGACAACAAACGAAGAGUGCUGGUGCGAUCCGAGAUUGAGAGGAGAGAGGCGUUACACAGCCUGUGGAUUGAGGGAGGUAUUGCUUAACCCAGUUGAGGACUGACAGAUACCGCUACAAAGGGACCUGAAAGAAAAGCUUUAAUUGGAACUAAUUUUGUGGAUUGAUUUUUCAACGUUGAAUUGGCGAGUGGAGCCACGUUUCUUCAAACUUAUCGGAAUUCAUCAUUUGAGGUGACGUUAAACAAAAACUGUUUCCGGGAAACAUCAUUACAUUGUUACUUCUGAUAUAUUGUGUUCGUUCUCAUGCUUUAUUUAAGAAAAAAACAAAAUCGUUAUGUGAGCUCUUUAUUUGUUUUAUCGUUUGAUAUUUAGCCGGAUAAUACAAAAAAAGUAUUAAAAAAUUCAUUGACAGGCUGUUUUACGCACUUCGCAUGAAUAUUAUCAGUCAGCCUCCAGUAGGUUGAAAUUGUUUUCAGUCAUUAAACGAAUUAAAUUUGUGAAUAUAAUCAUAAAAUAUGAAAUCUGGCCACGUAACGAUAUAACUUUCCUUUACUAUCAGUGUGCCGGGUAAAAUGUAUGUACUAUUGAUAUGUUUUUACUGUCGGCCUAUAUGCAGCUUUGUAGGCAAAAUAAUUGUGACCUUGUUUCAGAUAAUUAUAAUUAGGUACAUUAAUCUGUAAGUAAUGCAAAAUCUAACAUGCAUUGUAGUGAUUUUUCCUAUAGAGGCGUUUUUUAUGAGAUAUGUUUUGAAUGUAACACAAUUUUUUAAAAACAAAUUACAAACUUUAACUAUGAACUUGGAAUUA